rnacentral:SRP_RNA from 1 species
GCCGGGCGUGGUAGCGGGCGCCUGUAAUCCCAGCUACUCGGGAGGCUGAGGCAGGAGAAUUGCUUGAGUCCUGGAGAUGGAGGUUGCAGUGAGCCAAGCUCCUGCCACUGCACUCCAGCCUGACCAACAGAGCGAUACUCUGUCUCAG